UACAGGGGGUGCAAGCGUUGUUCGGAAUUACUGGGCGUAAAGCGUGCGCAGGCGGUGAUGUAAGACAGGUGUGAAAUCCCCGGGCUUAACCUGGGAACUGCAUUUGUGACUGUAGAGCUGGAGUGCGGCAGAGGGGGAUGGAAUUCCGCGUGUAGCAGUGAAAUGCGUAGAUAUGCGGAGGAACACCGAUGGCGAAGGCAAUCCCCUGGGCCUGCACUGACGCUCAUGCACGAAAGCGUGGGGAGCAAACAGG
rnacentral:rRNA from 1 species